rnacentral:tRNA from 1 species
GCGCCGGUGGUGUAAGGCGAACAUCGCUGCCCGGAAAGCAGAAGGUACGGGUUCGAGUCCCGCCGGACGCA